GAAGAAGAAGAACUGCCCAAUGACAACUCUGCGCGCCUUAAUUUGAAAAUACAUCAGUUUGAAUGACUGCUGCGGGACAUCGGCGCGACUGCCCAUCGAAUAACGUUACCUAGAUUAAUAACUGGCUUAUUUUACACCUGCUUGCUUAUUUAGUGAGUCGUGGCUUGUCAUUUUUAACGGAGAACAAAAAAAAAACUGGAAUAUGGAGACAACGGAAGGGUCCGGCGGGAUCUGUUUCGUCUUCUAACUACAUGAACUUCACCUUAUUACUAUUAUUCUGGCGACAUCAGUAAAGGGCCCCUUGCAGUGCAUCACCUGUGAGAUCACAAGAAGGCUGAAGAACCAGGACUGACAAGAUAUCACUGAAUGAAAUUUUGGGAAUGAAAAAGCUCCUGCCACAAGAUCUUCAGAGCCAGACAAGCAUUGGAGCAGGGUUUACGGGGGAGAACAGGCACCCUAGACCAUCAUUGAUGCACAAAAGAUCCAACUGAUUGCUGCCAAUUUGGAGGAGGAUUCCUCGUUAUCUGCCAUAUUGCACUGUCACUUCUGGUACAGAUUCAUUGACCUUUUGUGUUAUGUUUUGUUUUUACUUAAUGCACUGUAUAGGUAGGAUUCUAAAUUAAAAUAUGCUUGUCCACAAAUAUUACCAAAACUACAGUUUACAGAACCCCCAAGGGUCAGGAGAAUAUUGUAGAAAAUAAUAGAAAAUUGAACAGGAAAAAACAAGCUAAAAACA